GCGGAAGUAGCUCAGUUGGUAGAGCAUUAGCUUCCCAAGCUGAGGGUCGCGGGUUCGAGUCCCGUCUUCCGCU
rnacentral:tRNA from 1 species